ensembl:lncRNA
CCCGGGUGCUGGGAUGUGCCCAGACCUGUCCUGGCCUGUCCCCGCGCUGGGACAGGCUCACAGGCUGAGCUGGCUUAGGCCGGGAUUAAAGGCACGCUCUGCAAUUAGAGGCACACCCGGCUCCUUCCGGCAUUCCCAGCCCCAUCUGCGCAGGGUUUGGAGAGAGGGAAUGCUGAGGGUGUUCAUCCCUAGUGUCCAAGGCCAUCUCUCUGCUUGUCAUUCCUUGGAAUAACAAAAAACCCAUUUCUCUAAUGCAUCAGGAUGUUUCCAUCCCUUUCUGGGGAGGGAAAUACACCUAGAAACUGUAGGAUCACAAGGAUUUCCAGGAAAGCAAAACAAGCGCGGAGAUGAGGGAGUAAGCUUCCAAUUUAAAAAUUAUUUCAUGGACAUAGGAAUGAUUCUUGUAUGUUUUACAACUCCCCUUUUUAUUCCUUGAAUAAUUUUAGAUUUUAUUUUCUUUUAACAAAUCAUCUAAAUUUGAGAGGAAACAAUAGAAAAUUAAUGCAGGGAGAGACUGUGGAAUCAUCCUGGAACGGUUUGGGCUGGAAGCCUCAUCUCUGAGCUCCUGUCCUUCAGCCACUCGCUGCAGGUGGACAUGGAAGUGAUGGAGAUGUGCAGGGAAUGCUGCUUGGUUUUCCCUGCCUCCGGCAAUCUGGCCAUUCAAAAGACUAAUUGACCUCUUCCAGCAGGGAAACAUUUAAACAAGAGGUCUCAAAAAGAAUUGGAGCGUCUGCACAAUGAAAUCUGCAAGAAUCCAACUUCAAAUCCCCCUGAAUUGUCACUGGUCCAACUUCCAUGGACUGGUCACUGUGGCCAGGAGUGUCCAGUCCUGCUGGAAAUGCACUGGACCAGGAUGUCAUUUUCAUUUGAUGCUGGUGAAGACCCUCUGGGUGACCCCCAGUGACUGGAAGGACCAGACUGGGCUCCCAGGGCACUAAUUGCAGGGGUUCUGUUCUUGGGAAUAGCACAGGAGCCUUUCCCUUGUCCAGAGGAGCAGCCAGUGUUUCCCUGUCUGGGACAAGGGAGGUGGAAAACACGCUGGGUCAGUGGAGAGGGGCCUCCAUGGGGAUGGGAGGCUCCCGCUGCCGUUCCCAUCUCCCUGCGGGCACGGAGGGCUGAUCCCGGACCAGGACAGGGCGAUGCUCCCGGCGCAUCCCGGGGCGAGCGGCCCCAAACGGGCCGGGCCUGCUCAGGUGCGCGGGGCGGGACCGGGGGAUUCAAACCCCGGAGCCGCCCCGGCCUCCUGGGCUCGUUCAGCGCUCGGUGCGGGAGCAGCGGCCGGGCCGGGCUCCUCCGGGGGUCCAAGCCAAGAACAUCCCAAAGGGCCUCCUCACCCUCAUGGACAGCAGGAAUGUCUUCCAUGGCUCCUGCUUGGGAAUGGCAGUGGCUGUUGGGAGCUCUGGAGACCAGGUUGUGCUGGAUGACUUCAAAGUCCCAGACUGAAGCCACACAGAGGAUUGAAGGCAGCACCAAGAUAUUGUAGGACUGUCUCCAAACAGAUCGCACUGCAAAGAGGGUUUUCCAGCUGGAGGAAACCUCCAGCAGGGAGUUCACAC